rnacentral:rRNA from 1 species
UUCAUAGAGUGUAAAGGCAUAAGGGAGCUUGACUGCGAGACCUACAAGUCGAGCAGGGUCGAAAGACGGACUUAGUGAUCCGGUGGUUCCGCAUGGAAGGGCCAUCGCUCAACGGAUAAAAGCUACCCCGGGGAUAACAGGCUUAUCUCCCCCAAGAGUUCACAUCGACGGGGAGGUUUGGCACCUCGAUGUCGGCUCAU